rnacentral:rRNA from 1 species
GAUGAACGCUGGCGGCGUGCCUAAUACAUGCAAGUCGAACGGACAGACGCUGCGCUUGCUCCGCUCUCGUUAGCCGAAGGCGUGUGUGACACGCGUGGAAAACCUACCUGUCUGUGUGAGAACUCUAGGGGACACGGGCGAUUAUCCGGGAUGAUCUAUUGCACCGCGUGGUGCGAUGGUAAGAGUCGGUGUUGCUGUAACUUCUCGCUGCUUACGAGCCGGAUUAGCUAGUUGGUAAGGUAAAGGCUUACGACGGCUACGAUGCGUAGCCGACGUGAGAGGGGGAUCGCCCACAUGGGAGCUGAGACACGGUCAAGACUCCUACGGGAGGCAGCAGUAGGGAAUCUGCCGCAAUGGGCGAAAGCUUGACGGAGCAACGCCGCGUGAGUGAUGAAGGCCCUCGGAUCGUAAAACUCUGUUAUGAGUGAAGAACAAAUGUGUAAGGAACUAUGCACGGCUUGACGGUACCUAAUCAGAAAGCCACGGCUAACUACGUG